rnacentral:rRNA from 1 species
GGGCAGCACGGUAUAGCAAUAUAUGGGUGGCGACCGGCAAACGGGUGCGGAACACGUACACAACCUUCCGGUGAGCGGGGGAUAGCCCAGAGAAAUUUGGAUUAAUACCCCAUACUAUAAUGAUCAGGCAUCUGGUUAUUAUCAAAGGCUUCGGCCGCUUAUUGAUGGGUGUGCGUCUGAUUAGGUAGUUGGCGGGGUAGAGGCCCACCAAGCCUACGAUCAGUAGCUGAUGUGAGAGCAUGAUCAGCCACACGGGCACUGAGACACGGGCCCGACUCCUACGGGAGGCAGCAGUAAGGAAUAUUGGGCAAUGGACGCAAGUCUGAUCCAGCCAUGCCGCGUGAAGGAUGAAUGCCCUCUGGGUUGUAAACUUCUUUUACAGGGGAAG